AAAUUUUCCACAGAUGCAUGCGAAAGUUGCAUAUAUAUGAUGUUGACUGAUAAAGUACGAAAAUAUGAAAAAAUUAUAAGAUACCACAAACAUACGCUCGUAUGUGCAUGCAACAAAUGGGUUUAAAUCAAAUACAGUACUAUACUAAUCUUAGUUUGUUUGUUUUUUUUUGUCAUCAAUCUUAGUUUGGUAUAUAUAUAGAGGAAGCAGUACACUCUCUUGGUCUUGGAUGGCUAAGUUAUCGUAUAUGUAAAGGAUUGCAGAGUGGCAUUUAUG
rnacentral:lncRNA from 1 species